UUUUAUUUUUUACUAUUUAUUUGAUUUCAUGAGAGAUCGCUGAACAAUUUUCAAAAUUGUUCGAGAUCUUUUAGGUUGUUCUAAAGGCAGAAAUGAAUUUCGAACGUUCCAAAAUAAAUGUAAAAUUAAUUAAAUUCUUCAACUUAGUUUAUAUAAACAUCCAGUCUUCGACAUUACUCUAAAAUCAGGACCUGAAAAUUAUAUAUUUUUAACAGAAAACAAAAUUGUAUUCGACUUUUAACUAUGAAAAUGUAUUAUAACUAUAAAUGGAUGAUUUUUUCAUUCUUAAUGGCGAUUCUUUAUGAAAUUACUAGUGAAAAUAAAUCAAUUUUAGGCUUGUAUAGUCGUAACAAAUUCAAUUUUAGCUCUUCCUAUGGAGAAAAUAAUCGGAACUAUUCAAUUUUACAUGAAAAUACGAUAAGUUUAAGACCUGCUUCGUCCUAUAUUUCAAGGUUUCGGCGUGAUAUUCGUUAUAAAGUAAAUAGAAAUGAAGAGAAAGGACAAACUGCUAUCAAAAAUGGCGAAAUGGCUUCGAAAUUGAAAGAUAGAGACUCCGAGGAAUCAAAAAAGAAUGGUAGAGAAAACAACAACGAUAAAUCACAGAUUUCUUCUAGUAAUAAAAAUAAGCUUGACAGCAUUUACAAGUAUUUAAAAUCUUUAUUAAACGUUAAAGAAGUAAACGAUAAAGAAAAUUUGAAAUUCGGUCCACGUUCCAUUCCAAAAGUAGAUGAAGAAAAUAAACCAAAUGCCAAAGAAAUACGGAAGAAAAAUGUUUUAAUUAUGCAAAAUUAUAAGCAACAAUCACCUUCAGCCAUGGAAAGAAAAGUGAAAGAUCCCAUGGAUAAAGCAUCUUUACCACAAAACUUCGAGAAUACAGUUAAAAUUUCUGAUAAAUCUUCAAAAAUCUUAUCAAAAUUUGUUAAAUAUCGCGAUGACAGACUUUUAAAUAAAUAUCUAAUGAAAGAAAGGAGAUAUCUUCAAAAUAAAACCAGUCAAAACCAUGCAAAAACAAUAACAAAAAGAUAUCAUACAAUGUUACGAAAAGAAAACUACAAAAGCCUCGAGAACCAUAUAAGAAUUGCAUCAAAAAAUUCCAAUCAGCAAAGAGAAAAUGAAGUUGGGAAUAAUAAUUUAAUAGAACAAGUCAAAACUACAACACCCGUUAAGUUUAUAUUACUGUUUAUGGUUCUUUGUGUAAGUAUUGUUAUCAUAACCGUACUUUUUAACUGCCCAUUAAUUUACAAAGCAUUAAGUGGAGGUAAUUAUGAUCAUAACAAUAACGCGAAACAGCCAUUAAUAUCAAUAAAUGAAGAAAAACCACCACGAAAGCGACUCUUUCCUUCUAAAACUAGACAUAGAAAUGUCAAAGAUUUUCAUUGGAAUGUGAAAAAAUCCACGAAAUCAAAAAGUGACUCUUCAGAGAACGAAUCAAAUACAAGUGAAAGAUCUCAGAUCUUAGAAACAAAGUUAUUGAAUGGCGUAAAGAAAAUACCCAAUAGCAAUGAGGAAAAUAUUAAAAUAGACAAACAAAAUAUAAAAGUUUCUAGUAGUGAUCAUUGGGAGAACAUAGAGAUGACCAUGGACCAAAAAGAUAAUGUUGUUGAAUUGUGCGCUUUGCUCUCUCCAAAAACUAGUAAAAACAAUGAAAAUAUUGUUAAAAUAGAAGAAGGGGACAUAUUAGACGAGAAAAAUAUUGAAGUUAUUCAUAAAUAUGGCCAAUACUUAAGUGAAUUACGUAAUGUUUUGGACGUAGCCAACAAGCAAUUAGGAAAAGAAUUCGUAGAUUCAACUGAUGAAAACAAUUACGAAACGAAAAUACAGAGUAAAACGAACUUUUCUAAUAAUUGCAACGUGUGGAAAUGCGAACCUCAUCUCUUAAAGUCCAAUUUCUUGGAUAAUGCACAAAGUAAGGAUGAGACGACCACCACAGAUGAGGAACAAGUAACCACGAGUAAUCCAAAAAGACAGAUAACAAAGUUGAGUCAAAUUAGAAAAAUUUUACAGAAUUCUGUUAAUUCAGAUAACACUACUAACACUAGUAAACAAUUUCUGAAUCCACAUUCGAUGAUCGAUGUCUUAGAAGAAUUUCAAACUGAUUAUUCUUUUUCUGAUCCUCUCAUAAUCCAUGAUGAAUACAAAGAUGGAGUGUUUAAUGAUACAAAUGAUAAUUCUGAAACAGAAACCAGUUCGUCAUCCAUAUUUAUAAGGAAAGAAAAACAGAAACGAAAGAAGAGUUAUCGUGGGGAAUUUCGUCAUAAAUGUAAAGAAGCAUACUUUUGAGGAAAAUAAGACGAUAAAAAUUGUUAAUUGGUGCUUAAUUUUUUUAAAAUUAAAAGUUUUUAUCUAGCGUGUUGCCCACCCCUGGUUUAGAAGAAGUUUUACAUUAUGUUUAAUUUU